ensembl:snoRNA
AUCCAGGCUAUAGUCACACCUGGAUAUUGGCUAUUGCCUUAGUGUGCUACAGUUCUGGAAGAGUAACUGCUGACCUUAUUCACUGGCUGCGGGCCUCGUGGCACAGCCAGUCACCAGGUAGUGACAUAU